GACUCGAAAGCUCAGUGUGUAGAGGGGCGGUCUUCAAACCCAAAAAUGCGAGUUCGAAUCCCGCUCGAGGCA